rnacentral:rRNA from 1 species
UGCAGAAUCUGAUGAACUAUCGAUUCUUUGAACACAAGUUGCGCCCAAAGCCAUUAGGCCGAGGGCACGCUUGCCCGAGCAUCACACGUAGUUGGCCCCCUGCACCUCCCUCGGGAGCGUCGGUGGGCAGACGAUGGCCUACCGUGCGUCACCCCAAGUGGUUGGCACAAAUGUUGAGUCCGCAGCGACGAAUGCCAUGACAAUAAUUGGUUGUCAAACCUCAGUUGCCUGUUGUGCUCGACACUCGCAACUCUGCUUCGGUGAAGCGUUCAAUGCGACCCCAGGUCAGGCGGGGUUACCUGCUGAAUUUAA